rnacentral:misc_RNA from 1 species
GUAUUGUAUUGCGUUAGACGCGACAUACAUUCCAUAUGACUUCAUUACGGUGUGUGUGUAAAGACGUAGAACCACGGCGAGGGAGACAGAGUCCCCCAGGCCACAGAACUACAGAGGGUGCACAGGUGUGUGUGGAUGUGUGAACAGAGCGUGCACAUGCCCCGUUUGAGGACCAGCAACAACUCAUGUUGACAAUUCGGUAAUGAUCCUUCCGCAGGUUCACCUACGGAAA